CGGCGGGCGGCCGCGGCCUCUCUCGGCCGCUGCUGCCGCCAUCUUGUGGGGCUGCCGCCGCCGCCGCCGCCUCCAUCCGGUUCCAUCCGCCGCCCCCGCCGGCGCCCGCCCGCCGGGACUGACCGCGGCGCCGCCGCACCGCCAUGAGGGCCAAGUGGCGCAAGAAGCGGAUGCGCAGGCUGAAGCGCAAGAGGAGGAAGAUGAGGCAAAGGUCCAAGUAGGCCCUGCCGGGCCGCCGCCGCCGCCACCGGGGAGAGACGUCCCGGUGCCCCGGAGACGUCCCGGUGCCCCGUGGGAGGAGGCCCGGCGCCGCGGGGGGAUCCCGCCGCGCCGGGCCGGUUGUGUGCUAUGUGCCGCCAAUAAAGCUGGUGUUGUCGGGA